UAAAAUUUUAUUAAUUAGGUAGUAAAGAAAUUUCUGAAACCUAAAGAAUUUGGCGGUGUUUUAAAUAAUUGGAGGAAUCUGUUAUUUAAUUGAUAUUCCACAACAAAUCUUCCCUUAUUUUUGUUUGUAUAUCAUCAUUUAGAGAUAAUAUUUUAAAAUUAUGGUCGUAAUUAAUUAAAUUUUACAAAUUAGAUCAAGAUGCAGCAUAAUAUGGUUGUAAUGGAUUACAAUAUUAUUUAAAUAUAUACGAAUGAUAUAAUGAAAAUAUAUUUGAAGGAGGAUUCAAAAGUAAUUCGAAAGUAAUAUGUUCUUUUGAAUAAUAAUUUAAAACAUGU
rnacentral:rRNA from 1 species